rnacentral:rRNA from 1 species
AUUGAACGCUGGCGGGAUGCUUUACACAUGCAAGUCGAACGGUAACAGGCCGCAAGGUGCUGACGAGUGGCGAACGGGUGAGUAAUGCAUCGGAACGUGCCCAGUCGUGGGGGAUAACGCAGCGAAAGCUGCGCUAAUACCGCAUACGAUCUAUGGAUGAAAGCGGGGGACCGUAAGGCCUCGCGCGAUUGGAGCGGCCGAUGUCAGAUUAGGUAGUUGGUGGGGUAAAGGCUCACCAAGCCAACGAUCUGUAGCUGGUCUGAGAGGACGACCAGCCACACUGGGACUGAGACACGGCCCAGACUCCUACGGGAGGCAGCAGUGGGGAAUUUUGGACAAUGGGCGCAAGCCUGAUCCAGCAAUGCCGCGUGCAGGAAGAAGGCCUUCGGGUUGUAAACUGCUUUUGUACGGAACGAAACGGUCCUGGUUAAUACCUGGGGCUAAUGACGGUACCGUAAGAAUAAGCACCGGCUAACUACGUGCCAACAGCCGCAGUAACAC